AUUGAUCUCCACACUCCCACGCUGCCUUUCCUCAGGCGCUGACCGAUGGCAAACUCCAGGUGCAGCAGUGGGAUUCCCUCCAGAACCAGCAGGAUCAGAAACGGGAUCAUAAAUGCUCCUGGAGGUAUGGGAACCUCCAGACGUUGCCAAGUCCCACACAGAAGCCCACACAGCUGUCAUUUCAGCGUGUAUUGCCGAGACCCUCCCCGACACCAUCCACCCCCAGUCUCCACAUCCGGUGCCAGGUCGAGCUCAUCGCCGUCCACUCGUCAUCACAUCCAGAUCUCCAGCUCCCAAGUCUCUCCUGAUUUAAAUGACUAAUAAUCACUCAUCUAAACACCAACACCAGUCAGUUAAGAGUUAAUCACAGCCCCAGCCCUUAUGGUGCCAAUGGCACAGAAGGACAGCAGCAGGAUAAGGAUCGGGAUCAUAAAAGCAUCUGGGGACACACCAAGGUAAGCGUAGAUAAGCAGAGAGAUAGAAGAGAUGUGUGUCUGUGUGAGUAUAGAUACACCUUUACUUUACUGUAACCAUGUGAUCGUUGGAACAUUAGAUGUUUUUCUACACCUCAACACAUUGAAACAAUUUAUAAUUUCUGUCUUUUCUAUCUUCAUUACUUUCUUCAUUGUUCCUUUUAUAUCCAUUUAUUUAAUCAUUCCCCCUGUUCAUUCUAUGUCGUUAUUAAUCUUUCAAAACGUCAAGUCAUGCGAAACCUUUUCAGAAACAAUUACACAGAGUAUAAUUGAAGCUAAGAAAAGGGUGUAUAGGAGCUUUUACUGUCUUCAUUAUCAUGAUGCGGGUGGAGUAGGAUCAGGGCUAAAAGUUCACUCUGAUGUCAGGACUUUUUCAGAUAGCAGAGGUCUAAAUCAUGAAUCACACAUCAAAUUAUGAUCAUUAUGAAUAAUCAUUUUAAAGUAUGUAGAAGUAGAGUCAUAUUGUUGCCUGUACAGAGAGGUGGAUAUCGAAUUCAACUUGUUACUUACUGUAUGUCACUGAACCUUUCAGUAGUAACAUGAGUUAAAUGUUAACCACUUGAGACUAUAUACAGACACUUCUGAAUGGCAGCUCGUGCUUUACCUUACACCACUACAGAUACUGUUGGGAAAUCCGAUUUCCACUUCAGAGAUAUAUAGUCCUCUCCCUCAGCUGGCCCUAUUUACAGUACCCUAUCAGUAGUAAACUGAGAUUACAGGAAGCUAUAUAGUUUGUAGGUGUACUGUUUUUGAAGUGAAAACACUCAGUCCAGGAAAACAUGACAAGAUUUGUUGUCAUGACAUUUGUUACAGACAUUCAUGCCCCCCACCCCCAGGACUAAAUGUAAUCACUUUGAUGAUCUCUGAACCUCACCCCGUCUUCAAAGCAGGGCAAGUUUAUUUAUGUAGCACAGUUCAGAAACAAGUGUUUUACAGAGGAAAGGAAAUAUAUAGAAAUAAGACAUUAAAAAGACGUUAAUAUUGUGUCACCAGGUCUGAAUUUUAAAUUGUAGUUUAUGAUUAAAAUUCCCAUCAGCCUCCACUGCACUUUGUGUUGCUAAUUAGCAAAUGUUAGCAUGCUAACAUGAUAAACUAAGAUAGUGACCAUGGUAAGUUUCAGCACAUCAGCAUGUUAGCACUGUUGUUAUGAGCAUUUUUAGCAUGCUGACAUUAACAUUUAGCUUAAGACACCACUCAGUGACACUAAUCAAUGAUUUAGUUUCAUGAAAAUGUUGCAGAUCAUUUAUUUUAUGUACCAACAGUACCACAAUAAAAUACUAUUUCCAUUUGACCAUUUUUAUGUACUGGCUUCUGCGCUGAUAAAUGCUGUGUAUAUGCACUGAGUGAGAUAUGCUGCUUUAUCUGGAAAGCGUUAGUGAUAUCUGAGCACCUCUCAGGCAGGACCUGAGCACAAGACCAUGUUCAGCCGAGAGGUGGAGUUCAGGGAAUCAGUGGAAACACUAGUAGUUAUUCUUCACUUCUGUUACAUCAGACCCUGAGAUCACCCUGUGUAAUGUGAAACAACUACAGUAGCUAAACAUAAAAAUAAAAUAAAACAAAACUUCCCUGCUCAAAAAUUGUGUGUGUAGAGUAGUUUAAUGCAUCAGUGGUGCUUCGCUGCCAAAUGGACAUUUAAGUCACACAAUAAUGUUCACGUGCAAGAGUUAAUGUUUAACCUAAAUCACUUUAAGAGAAGAUAUUAGACUUAAAUGAUGCAUCAUGGUUUCAUAGUGCUAUACUGAGUGUGAUUGCUCAAUAGAUUGUAUCUUAGGGUUUUAUAUUGACUCCAGUGUCUUAAUUUAUACCUACCCCAAAAAAUGUGAUCAAUUAUGAACAAAAGUGAUGCUGACAAAAUUUCUUGUAUUUUAGGGCUAGUGAGCGAUACACCAUUAGGAUUUGUGUAAUUACUACACAACACAGUAGCAUUUAUCAUGAACAAUACUGAGUAAUUUAUUUUCCAAACACAAAACAUAGCUUCCUUCAAUUUUAAUAUUUUUUUUCUUCUUUUAGUUUUCACAUUCCUCUAUGAAAAAUUCGUAUUUUCGCAGCAGAUAAGAAGAGUUUACCAAAUCCAUGACUUUGACACAGGUAUAGGAACUUCCAGAUGUUACACACAGAAGCCCACACAGCUGAGUCAGCAAAGUUGUACUUUUAGUUUACAGCUGUCAAAUACACCAAGUCUUAGUUGUAGAUUUAUAAUGAAGUCACUGGUUCAGACUUUUACCACAAUGUGUGCGUCAUCUUCUCCUCAAGUGAUAUUUUAACCAUUUUAUUCUUAUUUAUUCUUCAAAAAAAAAAACAUUGUGUGGAUUUUAUCCAAGAAUACCAAUCUGAAAGUGAAUGUGCAUUUCAAACUGUUAAUAAGAAACCUGCUGAAGAUCCCACUGUAAAUGUGUGACUACAGUCAGGAAAGAAGAAGUAGAAUAAUUUGCCCUUCCAAUAAAUUUAAUGGAAAAACCAAAAUGACCCUUAAGAAUAAGGAACCGUAGAUUUGAUCUUGUACUUUCUGUUAUUAUAGAGCUACAUAUAUAUAGAAGAUUGAAGGUCUACAGUGUUCGUCUCAGAUAAGAGGGAAUAAUGCAGGGUAAGGUGCACUUACCGUUUCCCCCACAGUACUCUGGGAGAUCAUUUAAAGUGUCUAAAAGUUGCUACAGAAGCUGCAGACUAAAAUGAAUCUGUACAUCCUGGCUGCACUGCAGGGAAAGCUGGUUACUGCGACAUCCUCAGGAUGCAGUUUAUUUGCAGUGAAGCCACUGUGACUUCACAAGCGGAACAAAACACUGCAGAAAACAAACACACCUCACUCUAUGUCUUCACUCCUCUGCUUGUCUAAAUGAUGUUAUUGAAAUCCAGUCAUACUGAAAUAGAAAAUAUAUGGUGACUCUGAAAGUAAAAUGUCUUGAAUUUUUGUUUUAUGUUUGUGUUUUCAGAGUUGGUAAUUAUUCUUAUUUCUGUUUUUUCUGAAUAUCCCAUCUCACUGCGUACAGGACAUCACUUCCUGUUUGUUUACCCUGUUGAUAUUGAUGUUCUGAUUCAGUGUUUUUGACAUUUACUAAUUAUUCUGUUACUAAGGUAUGUCUGAGGAUUAUCAGCCUGAGUUUAGACACAGGCUGAUAAUCCCAAACCAUGCUGUAGAGCUAGAGAUAAGAGAGCAUGCAGUGAGUGGUUGCCACGGUGUGUGAGGAAAUCUUUGAACUUUAAGCCUUACUUCGUAAUCAGCCACUGACUCAUGAGCCACGCUGUACUGGCUCAUUAGUGGUAAAGAUUAGUGGUUUUCUGCCCUCCAGUGGUAACAGAGAGGUUGUCUCCAUUCAAUUCAAUAGAUUUUGCUCUCAUACACAGAUGAAGUUUACAAGUGCACAGACAAAAUGGUAAAUGGUAAAUGGAUUGUAUUUAUAAAGCACUUUCAUCCGAACCACUUUACAAUUUGCCCCUAAUUCACACACGUUGAUGGCAGCAAGCCACGUGACGAGGCACUGGCCUUCGACAUGGGGAUGAAACCAUGAUGAGUAUGAUAAAUGAACCUGUGUGAUGCAGUUUAAAGAGCUUGUCAACAGCUACAGAGCUCUGCUGUGUAAUUAUUUAGCUUCGUUGUCCUCUGAACAUGAAAUGAAGUAAGCUUUGCUUUUUCGUAAAUCACCAUAUAGUUUCAUGAUUUCAUUGCAGCUGUCUUAAACUAUAUAGUAUCUCUUUUAUAAAACUGUGUGGUAUGAUCAUCAUUUAAUUCACCUCUCAAAAUUAAGAUUGAUUUCAUCACCUACAGCAGCUGCAGUGAGUUUACUGUAACUAAAUGUUCCAGUAUUCGUUUAUAUGAACUGAGAAUGCAUCUUUAGUAUUAAACAAAUUGUUUAAUAUUCUGUAGAAAAAGAAACUAAGUUGGUCACUUGCAUUUCACGUUUUUGGCCACAAGAUGUCAGCAUUGGUCAAAAUUGCCCUUUAACUUGCUGCAAACUUCCCAAAUAUUGUUCCUCGUGUCAGGCUACUCUUCAGAGUAAGAGUAAAAUGAGACUUGUGUGUCUUUUGUCCUGGAUAGUGAACUUAUAGAAAACGAAUCUUUCUAUGAUAUAUGCUAUAUUUCACCUCAUUGUUGUAGUAGCCUAGGUUAUUAGCCUGUUUAUUUAUUCAACAGAGAUUAAAACUGUCUCGGUGAUAAUGCAGCUUUAUGAUUAUAGUCUGUUCCCUUUGUUGACUAAUUUAUGGCAAAUUUAGCUGAUGAUCGUGCCUAUUCUUUUAUAUGCGAAUAACACAUUACCUCGUUACAUUUUCACAUUUGUAUGUUUAUAUUCUUCGAAA